rnacentral:rRNA from 1 species
AGGACGAACGCUGGCGGCGUGCUUAACACAUGCAAGUCAAGGGGGCCCAGCAAUGGGCAACCGGCGAACGGGUGCGUAACACGUGAGCAACCUACCGAAAUGUGGGGGAUAGCCGGCCUAACGGCCGAGUAAUACCGCAUACGCUCUCGAUGAGGCAUUUCAUUGAGAGGAAACCUACGGGACAUUUCGAGGGGCUCGCGGCCUAUCAGCUAGUGGCGAGGUAACGGCUCACCAAGGCAACGACGGGUA